rnacentral:tRNA from 1 species
GCGAGGGUGGCGGAACUGGCAGACGCGCCAGAUUUAGGAUCUGGUGGGUUUACCCGUGCGGGUUCAAGUCCCGCCCCUCGCA